rnacentral:rRNA from 1 species
GACGAACGCUGGCGGCGUGCUUAACACAUGCAAGUCGAACGGAAAGGCCUCUUCGGAGGUACUCGAGUGGCGAACGGGUGAGUAACACGUGGGCAAUCUGCCCUGCACUUCGGGAUAAGCCUGGGAAACUGGGUCUAAUACCGGAUAGGACCUCAAGACGCAUGUCUUCUGGUGGAAAGCUUUUGCGGUGUGGGAUGGGCCCGCGGCCUAUCAGCUUGUUGGUGGGGUGACGGCCUACCAAGGCGACGACGGGUAGCCGGCCUGAGAGGGUGUCCGGCCACACUGGGACUGAGAUACGGCCCAGACUCCUACGGGAGGCAGCAGUGGGGAAUAUUGCACAAUGGGCGCAAGCCUGAUGCAGCGACGCCGCGUGGGGGAUGACGGCCUUCGGGUUGUAAACCUCUUUCACCAUCGACGAAGGUCCGGGUUUUCUCGGAUUGACGGUAGGUGGAGAAGAAGCACCGGCCAACUACGUGCCAGCAGCCGCGGUAAUACGUAGGGUGCGAGCGUUGUCCGGAAUUACUGGGCGUAAAGAGCUCGUAGGUGGUUUGUCGCGUUGUUCGUGAAAUCUCACGGCUUAACUGUGAGCGUGCGGGCGAUACGGGCAGACUAGAGUACUGCAGGGGAGACUGGAAUUCCUGGUGUAGCGGUGGAAUGCGCAGAUAUCAGGAGGAACACCGGUGGCGAAGGCGGGUCUCUGGGCAGUAACUGACGCUGAGGAGCGAAAGCGUGGGGAGCGAACAGGAUUAGAUACCCUGGUAGUCCACGCCGUAAACGGUGGGUACUAGGUGUGGGUUUCCUUCCUUGGGAUCCGUGCCGUAGCUAACGCAUUAAGUACCCCGCCUGGGGAGUACGGCCGCAAGGCUAAAACUCAAAGGAAUUGACGGGGGCCCGCACAAGCGGCGGAGCAUGUGGAUUAAUUCGAUGCAACGCGAAGAACCUUACCUGGGUUUGACAUGCACAGGACGCGUCUAGAGAUAGGCGUUCCCUUGUGGCCUGUGUGCAGGUGGUGCAUGGCUGUCGUCAGCUCGUGUCGUGAGAUGUUGGGUUAAGUCCCGCAACGAGCGCAACCCUUGUCUCAUGUUGCCAGCGGGUAAUGCCGGGGACUCGUGAGAGACUGCCGGGGUCAACUCGGAGGAAGGUGGGGAUGACGUCAAGUCAUCAUGCCCCCUAUGUCCAGGGCUUCACACAUGCUACAAUGGCCGGUACAAAGGGCUGCGAUGCCGUAAGGUUAAGCGAAUCCUUUUAAAGCCGGUCUCA